rnacentral:rRNA from 1 species
GACGAACGCUGGCGGCGCGCCUAACACAUGCAAGUCGAACGAGCGAGAGGAGGUUUACUUUCUCUAGCGAGUGGCGAACGGGUGAGUAACGCGUGAGGAACCUGCCUCAAAGAGGGGGACAACAGUUGGAAACGACUGCUAAUACCGCAUAAGCCCACGACCCGGCAUCGGGUAGAGGGAAAAGGAGCAAUCCGCUUUGAGAUGGCCUCGCGUCCGAUUAGCUAGUUGGUGAGGUAAUGGCCCACCAAGGCGACGAUCGGUAGCCGGACUGAGAGGUUGAACGGCCACAUUGGGACUGAGACACGGCCCAGACUCCUACGGGAGGCGGCAGUGGGGAAUAUUGCACAAUGGGGGAAACCCUGAUGCAGCGACGCCGCGUGGAGGAAGAAGGUCUUCGGAUUGUAAACUCCUGUUGUUGAGGAAGAUAAUGACGGUACUCAACAAGGAAGUGACGGCUAACUACGUG